rfam:Pteropus alecto contig3569, whole genome shotgun sequence.
GGUUUCAUAGUGUAGCAGUUAGCACGUCUGCUUUACACGCAGAAGGUCCUGGCUUCCCACCCCAGUGGAGCCA